rnacentral:RNase_P_RNA from 1 species
GCACUGCCCCGGCCUGCCGCUGGCCGUGCCGGUUAGGCACGACGGGAGGAAAGUCCGGGCAGCUUAGGGCGCUCCACUUCUGAAAGUAGAAGCAGUCGGCGACGGCUGGUAAGGGAAGAAGAAAACGACCGCCACAUUCUUAUUUUAUCAUUGUCAAGAGAACGUGGUAAGGGUGAGAAGGUGGUGUAAGAGACCACCAGGCGACGGGCGACCGUCGUGCUGUUCCCGCUGGAGGCUGCAAGUUCAUGUAAACCGUCGACACUGAGGGUUGCCCGCCCGAGUAGUCUACGAGGCGAUGCGACGGAGGGUAGAACGCUGGAGGCUCGUGGCGACGCGGGCAGUAGAUAAAUGGCAGGCACUGCCUUUCGACAAAUGUGUUCACAAGUUAUGGUUAAAGGCAGUACAGAACCCGGCUUACAGGGGCAAUGCUUUC